CCCGUCCGUCCCCCGUCGGCACCGAGCCGUCCUUUGCAGUCGCCGUUCGGCGGUCGUCUCUCUGUCGCUCUGUGCGUUCGUCAGUUAAAUGUUUACCGUUCGUUUCUCGGCGUUCUGCCCGCGGUCGUUUCUGCAGCUCAGACCAGCUGCUCGAUAGUGUCCUGCUGACACGAAUCCUGAACUUGUCUGCCCUCAGAAAGUCUUCCUGGAUGUUCCUCGAAGGUUGCUAAUAUUCUUGGCGCUCUUGGCCUAGGUGAAUUUAAUUGGAAAACUUCCACUAGCUUAGCAGGACUGUCUUCUUAUUUUCCAUAUGAAAGAACUGGAUUAGUAUUUUUCUUGCUCUUUUUUUUUGGAUUUUUCUAACAAUCUCAAAAGCCUGUAAAGCAUGGCUUCCUGAUAGCUUUCACACA